GCCAACUCUGAGUAAUAAGAAUUUUGAUAUGGUCUAAUGAAAAUUACUACUGAAAAAUGGGCCACUAAUAUACUAUAAAAUUUUUGAGAAUAUAAUGAUAAUCUGUAUGUGCCUGUACUUAUUUUCUGGCAAUGUUGUAGUUAGAAAUAACUGGGGUUGGUUUUUAAAUGACUUGUCUUGCCUUGAAAUAGGACAGUGAACUGAUUUCCCUAAAAGGAUUAAAGGUUUUGGUUUUGGUAUUAGUAUUGUUUUCCUGAAUCCAUUGCAAACAGUCUUGGUCUUAAAAGAAAAUGUUUGGAAUGCACAGAGAAAAAUUGCAGUAGCAAAUUAUCUUAGCUCUUUGUUAAUCUAACAUACAUGGUACCUGAAAUAGAUUAAUAUUCAAGUACCCAGUCAGAACAACCUCAAAUAUAUAUUUGUAAUGCUGUUACAUAUGUAUGUAAUUUUUAAAUCCUAUAAACAAAUAUAACUCCUCCCAUUAAAAAAAAAAAGAGGAGAAAGCAUUGGAUGAUGUCAUUUCAUAUAGCUUUUCUCUGUUCCACUGUAGUGAAGAAGAUUUGAAACUCUGGACAAACAUCAGAAUUAAAUUUGCUGAGUAGCUUUAAGUCUGACUUCUGACAGUUUUUGUUCUUUGUGAAUUAGUGGCCCUAUUUUCAGUUCUUAGACUUUCUCACAAAUUCAUCCUAAUUUAAAUUUUGUGGUUAUUGCAGCUAUUAAAAGUAACCAUUUACAGCUCUGUACUUUGUUUUUCAUUUCUUAUUUUCUCAGAUCCCUAUAUUCAAAGAAAAAUACUGGAACUAGUAGAGACUUUUCCUUUAUAACCAACAUGUUAGUCACAGAUUCAUUGGUAGAUAGAAAAAUAAUGAAUUCUUUUCCCACCUAUAAGCUGAAAGACUUUUUUCUUCACUGGGUAACAAAAUAUUUCUCUACAUUAAAAGUAGGAUUCUUAUAAUCAGUCUCUUAAUAGAUUAAGGGAGACCUUACUUAAUGACAGAAUUGAGAGAGAACUUCUGAUCUCUUCAUCUUAAAGCUGGGACAGUGAUUACAUAAUGUUCUCUUGUUCCUUGCGGGUGACUGUGUGGCAACCACCUUGUCUGACUGCCUGGACUGGGAACGGAAUUAGCCCUAAUGUGUUUUGCCUGGGGCAUUUCCUUUGCCUGCUUGGUUGAGAGGAUCUAGUGAGGCUAGUUAACACUAGUACACCCGGGUAAGAAUUUUUAAUACCUUUUACCCAAGUAAGAAUUUUUAAUACCUUUUAACCCUCCUAGACCACAGUAUCUAUUUACUAGUGUUUUUCAAAACGUGCUCUUGAGGACCAGUUGCCCUGGUAUCAUCUGGAGUUCUGGUUUUAAACUGCAGAUUCUACUACCUUAUGCCACAAGAAUUCUGAUCACUCUAGUCAGCUGUCUUAUAUAACAUGCAUUCCAAUACUUUUACACUGCUCCUGUCUUUUGCUGUUUUCCUCUCUACAGGGGGAGAACUACCCUCCAGAAGCAGUUCCAUUGCUCUAUUAUGGUUUCAGCCUUGUCUUUUCAGUAGCUGUUAAUCCCAGCAGCUAUUUCUAUUGAUUAUCUCAAUCAAGUAGCUUGCAUUUUUUUUUUCUCUUCCCCUAAAUUUUCCUGUUAAUUGUUUUCACCUUCCUGUACCUGGCUUGGUGGUCACAAAGCUCUUGGAGGAAUAGAAACACCAAAGAAUCUAUAGAAUUCGUUUUGAGUGACAAAAAAUGAUUUUGAAAUGAUAAACACAUUUUAUAUUGUAGGUAACAAUCCAUUUAUUUUAUGUCUGUAGCUUUGAACCUUGGAGAAUUGUUUGUAUAUGGUAUAUCAAAGAAAAUUCUGAAUGUACUAAAGCAGAAGCCCCAGUUUUGUCAUUAUAUAACUGCUUGAUCUUGGGCUUAAAUUUUAGUUUUCCUGUCUGUGAGAUAGGGUAGGACCAGAUGGUCUGUAAGGAUUCUUCCAGUUUUUAAAAUUCUAUGGAGAUGUUAGGAUUGCAUAAUUUUAUUUUGGCAAGAAUUAAAUUGUUUUAAUUGUGAAAAAUAACAACUACUGCCUCACUCUAACUAGACUGUUCCCUUUCUUCCUUUCCAUGUUUAACAUGUUACAUUCCUCCCUCAUCUGAAGUAGCAGUGGCUGAAGAAAAAGGAGAUGAAUAAAGAAAUUAUGUAAUAAAGCAAAUUUUCAUUUUUGGUUACCUCACUGUAGAACAGACAAGUUGUCAACAACUCUUUUGUUGCGAUGCCUGCUUAUGAAACCUCUUUCCCAAUAUCAGGCCCUGAAAAAGCCUACGUUUGCUUCAUUAGUUAUCCCCACAAGCAGUUUUGCUGAUGCAGAGUGUUGCCUGCUAAGUCCGUAGACGUCUUUAAAAGAAAGAGAAAUAAAGUGCUUGUAUAGGAGAGAAAAUGGGGCAGGAAGGGAGCAUGAGAGAAAGCGAAAGACAACCAAGCUCUGAGUUACCCAUCACAAAAUGGCUGUUUGGACCCUACUUGUUUAUACUUUUUGCACAAUUGUUUAUACCUAUUUGCACAAUUAGGACUGAAGGAUUUCAUAAUACAGCUUAUUGUUUAUGGUAGUGAUUUCUGUUUUUUAUGGGUUUUGUGGGGUUGAGGGAGGAUCAUAAAAUGCAUAAUAGGACUGAGAUGUAUUAAGAAAAGGAAUUGGAAACUUAAUUCUCUUUAACCAAAUACAUAUCAUUACCUAGUUAUAUAAUUUUGUGUUUGCAAACAUUGGCCAGUAAAACUUUUAUAGUCAUUACAUUUUGGUCUCCAUGGAUGGUGUCGAUAUCUGAAGUGAGGAUUCAGUGCUGGGAGAUAAAUGAAUUGCCUCUGUGUGUCCCAAGUGCCUUGGCAAAACCUCCUGUGUUUGCAUUCCUGGUACUCAUCCCCAGCUGGACACUGCUGCUGUUGAGUGUGGGUGAGGUUGCAUAUCAUGCCAUCGGAGGGCAAGAUACCUGCCAGAAGGUCUCCCAGGAUUGUAGUCUUCCCAGAUAGACAAGCUGGUGUACUAUCCUGGGCAUAAUCAGCCAGUAAGACUUCACGGAAUUCAAUUCUGCUGUAUAAGAGGUUUAUAUAACUGAGUGUCUCUUCAAAAGCCACAUUUUUUUUUCCCCCCGGAAAGGAAAUUCUGAGUUCCUGUUUUAACUGAAGCUUUGUGAGCUGUUUUGUAUACCAUCAUGUAAAUGGAGAUCCAGGAAAAAUAAAUUUAUCUUUUCAAUUAGGACAAAUGAAUUCACUCUCUUAAACUUUUUUGGCAAAUGUGCUAUUUUUAUUGAGCUUAAGGACUUUCACACCAAAGGACUUCAGGCCAUAACUACUGUCUAUUAAAGGAUUUAACUAUUCUGAAUGUGAACUGAGGUGGUUUUUGUGUAAAUGAUCUAGAAAAUAAACAAUGAAACUGUACUUUAA